GACGAAGGAUGCAAGCGUUAUCCGGAUUCAUUGGGUUUAAAGGGAGCGUAGGUGGCCUUGUAAGUCAGUGGUGAAAUCUGACAGCUUAACUGUUAAAUUGCCAUUGAUACUGCAAGGCUUGAGUACAGAUGCCGUUGGCGGAAUAUGACAUGUAGUGGUGAAAUACAUAGAGAUGUCAUAGAACACCGAUUGCGAAGGCAGCUGACGAAACUGUAACUGACACUGAGGCUCGAAAGUGUGGGGAUCAAACAGG
rnacentral:rRNA from 1 species